CCGACGAUAGCUCAGUUGGUAGAGCGGAGGACUGUAGUUGCAAAGUAGACAUCCUUAGGUCGCUGGUUCAAAUCCGGCUCGUCGGA
rnacentral:tRNA from 1 species